ACACCGUCGUCAUAAUCUUCCAGCCUCCAUCAUCUUCGUAGGAGUACACCAUACAUUCUGAGCCCUAAUCUUCCAGCCUCCAUCAUCAUGGAAUAACCUAAUUCCCUCAUUCUUCUCAUUCAAGCGGCUUACAGGAUACGUUUCUUUUACAAAACACUAUCAUCCGCAAUUAUCUAUCUCCUUCUUGGUAUGGUUGUAAAUGGAUUAAAUGGUUUGUUGAUAUUCGAAUCAUCUUUGUUGUUACCAAUCAUGUUUUUACGGAUUAGGGUUUUGUUUAUCUUCUUCUCACUGUGGCAGCGAUGAAAGUAAGUAUACGUUUUGUAUACCCAUUUUUUGAUUGUUUGAUUUUGCAAUAUUCAUCUUCACUAUUAA